AGAGUUUGAUCCUAGCUCAGGAUGAACGCUCGCUGUGUGCCUAAUACAUGCAUGUUGAACGGGAUGUAGCAAUACAUUCAGUAGCGAAUGGGUGAGUAACACGUACCUAACCUACCUUUAAGACUGGGAUAACUAUUGGAAACAAUAGCUAAUACCGGAUAUAGUUAUUUAUCGCAUGAUGAGUAAUAGAAAGGAGCUUCACAGCUUCACUUAAAAAUGGGGGUGCGGAACAUUAGUUAGUUGGUAGGGUAAUGGCCUACCAAGACGAUGAUGUUUAGCCGGGCCGAGAGGCUGUACGGCCACACUGGGACUGAGAUACGGCCCAGACUCCUACGGGAGGCAGCAGUAAGGAAUUUUCCACAAUGAGCGAAAGCUUGAUGGAGCGACACAGCGUGCAGGAUGAAGUUCUUCGGAAUGUAAACUGCUGUUAUAAGGGAAGAAAAAAUAGAAUAGGAAAUGAUUUUAUCUUGACGGUACCUUAUUAGAAAGCGACGGCAAACUAUGUGCCAGCAGCCGCGGUAAUACAUAGGUCGCAAGCGUUAUCCGGAAUUAUUGGGCGUAAAGCGUCCGUAGGUUUUUUGCUAAGUCUGGAGUUAAAUGCUGAAGCUCAACUUCAGUCCGCUUUGGAUACUGGCAAAAUAGAAUUAUAAAGAGGUUAGCGGAAUUCCUAGUGAAGCGGUGGAAUGCGUAGAUAUUAGGAAGAACACCAAUAGGCGAAGGCAGCUAACUGGUUAUAUAUUGACACUAAGGGACGAAAGCGUGGGGAGCAAACAGGAUUAGAUACCCUGGUAGUCCACGCCGUAAACGAUGAUCAUUAGUUGGUGGAAUAAUUUCACUAACGCAGCUAACGCGUUAAAUGAUCCGCCUGAAUAGUAUGCUCGCAAGAGUGAAACUUAAAGGAAUUGAC
rnacentral:rRNA from 1 species